UCCCUGAUGGUCUAGUGGCUAACACUCUGCUCUUCCAAUGCAGGGGGCCAGGGUUCAAUCCCUGGUCAGGGAA
rnacentral:tRNA from 1 species